rnacentral:rRNA from 1 species
CCAGCCAUGCCGCGUGUGUGAAGAAGGCCUUAUGGUUGUAAAGCACUUUAAGCGAGGAGGAGGCUCCUGUAGUUAAUACCUACAGUGAGUGGACGUUACUCGCAGAAUAAGCACCGGCUAACUCUGUGCCAGCAGCCGCGGUAAUACAGAGGGUGCGAGCGUUAAUCGGAUUUACUGGGCGUAAAGCGUGCGUAGGCGGCUUUUUAAGUCGGAUGUGAAAUCCCCGAGCUUAACUUGGGAAUUGCAUUCGAUACUGGGAAGCUAGAGUAUGGGAGAGGAUGGUAGAAUUCCAGGUGUAGCGGUGAAAUGCGUAGAGAUCUGGAGGAAUACCGAUGGCGAAGGCAGCCAUCUGGCCUAAUACUGACGCUGAGGUACGAAAGCAUGGGGAGCAAACAGGAUUAGAUACCCUGGUAGUCCAUGCCGUAAACGAUGUCUACUAGCCGUUGGGGCCUUUGAGGCUUUAGUGGCGCAGCUAACGCGAUAAGUAGACCGCCUGGGGAGUACGGUCGCAAGACUAAAACUCAAAUGAAUUGACGGGGGCCCGCACAAGCGGUGGAGCAUGUGGUUUAAUUCGAUGCAACGCGAAGAACCUUACCUGGUCUUGACAUAGUAAGAACUUUCCAGAGAUGGAUUGGUGCCUUC